CACCUCUGUCCCUGUGAGUGCUGCCCAAGGCUGCCAGGAAAGCCCAUCUGUGGAAUAGAUAAAGCUGCUUCUAUAUCCACUGAAUAUGCUCCAUGCAGGGGAUCUGUUUCCAUUUCAGAAAUGCGUCUACCUCUGAAAGCAGACUUUGUAUGUGGUACAGUUCAAAAGCCAGAAGCAGCAAAUUACUACUAUGUAAUCAUACUGAGAUCUGGAGCAUAAAACAUGGUUGCAGUCCCAUUGGCGAGUACUGCCAGCUCCCUGAAUGGAGAUGCUCUUGCUACGACAUUUGCUAUGCACAAUGUGUCAAAGGACUUUGAAAUAAACAUAGAAGUUUACAGUUUGGUAUGUAUCAGUUCUUGCUAACAAGAUGUGUAAAGGAGAAUGAG
rnacentral:lncRNA from 1 species